AGAUACAUACUACGUGGUCAUGGUACUUCUUUUUUGCAGCAACAUUGCGGUCUUUCCCAUGMUGACACUCCAUCAGUUUCUCGCCCAGUAUUAUGUAAGGCCAUAAAUCUCAAAUGAGCUGAAUGCAAUUCAAAAGUAGAGAUCAAAUUAUAGACUGUAAUUAUGGAUUUGACACAUGUAUUAUAUUCAAAGCCUUAGAAUCUUAAAAUAAUAUUGAAAUAUUUAAUAUUUAAGCUUAAUUACGCUUUUAACUUAUAUGUCAGCAUCGAAAAUAAUAUAAAGUCAGGGUAGCUGUAUUUUCGCUCAUAUAAUAAAUAUUGAUUUAACCUUUCAUUMAUGAGUAAAUGAAUGAAUGAGUGAAGGGAUAAAUGAAUUUCUAAUUGGAUUCAAUGGGCAUGAAUUAGGCUUUGCUGACAUACAAGUUAAGUUUUGCCAAUGAGCAGAAAGCUGAUUUUAAAAGGACAAUCGAACGAAAGUGACAUAUCAAAAAGAUAAUGUACUUCUCAAAUAGAGAAAUAAAAGAAAAAUGCUAACGAUCGUCCCUUA